rnacentral:rRNA from 1 species
AUGAACGCUGACAGAAUGCUUAACACAUGCAAGUCAACUUGAACUUCGGUUUGGGUGGCGGACGGGUGAGUAACGCGUAAAGAACUUGCCUCACGGAUAGGGACAACAUUUGGAAACGAAUGCUAAUACCUGAUAUUAUGAUUAUAUGGCAUCGUAUAAUUAUGAAAGCUAUAUGCGCUGUGAGAGAGCUUUGCGUCCCAUUAGCUAGUUGGAGAGGUAACGGCUCACCAAGGCGAUGAUGGGUAGCCGGCCUGAGAGGGUGAUCGGCCACAAGGGGACUGAGACACGGCCCUUACUCCUACGGGAGGCAGCAGUGGGGAAUAUUGGACAAUGGACCAAGAGUCUGAUCCAGCAAUUCCGUGUGCACGAUGAAGUUUUUCGGAAUGUAAAGUGCUUUCAGUUGGGAAGAAAAAAAUGACGGUACCAACAGAAGAAGUGACGGCUAAAUACGUG